CCUACGGGAGGCAGCAGUGGGGAAUAUUGCACAAUGGGGGAAACCCUGAUGCAGCGACGCCGCGUGAGUGAAGAAGUAAUUCGUUAUGUAAAGCUCUGUCAGCAGGGAAGAAAAUGACGGUACCUGAGUAAGAGGCCCCUGCUAACUACGUGCCAGCAGCCGCGGUCAUACGUAGGGGGCAAGCGUUAUCCGGAUUUACUGGGUGUAAAGGGAGCGUAGACGGCAGUGCAAGUCUGGAGUGAAAGGCGGGGGCUCAACCCCCGGACUGCUCUGGAAACUGUACGGCUGGAGUGCAGGAGAGGUAAGUGGAAUUCCUAGUGUAGCGGUGAAAUGCGUAGAUAUUAGGAGGAACACCAGUGGCGAAGGCGGCUUACUGGACUGUAACUGACGUUGAGGCGCGAAAGCGUGGGGAGCAAACAGGAUUAGAUACCCUAGUAGUC
rnacentral:rRNA from 1 species